rnacentral:rRNA from 1 species
GACAGAGGUGCCGAGCGUUAGGCGGAAUCACUGGGCUUAAAGCGUGUGUAGGCGGACUCGUAAGUGCUUUGUGAAAUCCCACGGCUCACCCGUGGAACUGCUUGGCAUACUGCGAGCCUUGAGCCACUUAGGGGCAACCGGAACAACGGUGGAGCGGUGAAAUGCGUAGAUAUCGUUUGGAACGCCAAUGGUGAAAACAGGUUGCUGGGAGUGCGCUGACGCUGAGACACGAAAGCCAGGGGAGCGAACGGG